GAUGAACGCUGGCGGCGUGCCUAAUACAUGCAAGUCGAGCGAACGGACGAGAAGCUUGCUUCUCUGAUGUUAGCGGCGGACGGGUGAGUAACACGUGGAUAACCUACCUAUAAGACUGGGAUAACUUCGGGAAACCGGAGCUAAUACCGGAUAAUAUUUUGAACCGCAUGGUUCAAAAGUGAAAGACGGUCUUGCUGUCACUUAUAGAUGGAUCCGCGCUGCAUUAGCUAGUUGGUAAGGUAACGGCUUACCAAGGCAACGAUGCAUAGCCGACCUGAGAGGGUGAUCGGCCACACUGGAACUGAGACACGGUCCAGACUCCUACGGGAGGCAGCAGUAGGGAAUCUUCCGCAAUGGGCGAAACCCUGACGGAGCAACGCCGCGUGAGUGAUGAAGGUCUUCGGAUCGUAAAACUCUGUUAUUAGGGAAGAACAUAUGUGUAAGUAACUGUGCACAUCUUGACGGUACCUAAUCAGAAAGCCACGGCUAACUACGUG
rnacentral:rRNA from 1 species